AAAAUAUUAUCACUCUGCAGCUGCAUUUGACUAUCAUCACAGAGCUUGUAUGCAUUCUAAUAAAUUCAUCAAAGGAAAAGAUCAGGCAGGUGCCAAGUGCUGCAAAAUGACCUGGACAAAGAAUGCAGAGGGUUUAGGAGUGCUUUGCAUAAAUAGGAGAAUUAUGUGCUUCACGGAGCAAGCAGUGUUCAGGUUUAAAGACACAGAUGUGUGACAGGCAUUCAGACAGUAAAUUCUGCACCUCCAGUGAUUCUGUGAUAGAAAUGUGUGCCUAUACCUCUGUAUAAUCUGCAACAAUCGAUAAAAUCAAGCAGGUUUUUUAUGAAAACAGUUUUAUUGGAAACUUUUUUAACAGUUUAAGACUCUCUCUUGUAAGUAACUGUCCCUGGACUACUGAGGUGGGUGGAGGGCUCCAUCCCCUCCUGGCAGCCCAGGGCUGAGCCCAUAUCCCUUCCAGGACCUGGCUGCAGCACCUGCUCGCUGUUUGGCAGCCUGACAUGCUUUCUGGUUUGUCCCUUUGGAUAGUGAUAUGCUGAUUCAAGCUGUACAGGAGAAACCAACAACUCAACUCUGUAUUGUGAUGAGACUCUCAGUGCUGUAUGGACAGAAUGGGGAAGCAUUCAAGCGCGUUUCCUUUCUCAGCACGUGGGAUACAGGAGGGCAGCAAAGCAUCACCUGUGAUGAACCACUCAUGUAUCCUUCUUGUAUCUGCAGGUAUUUUGAAUACUUAAGUUUGAGAAGACGUGGGAACUGACGACUUCUGUCCUCCGAGGAGAUGGCAUGAAUUACUGCAAUUGGAAAAUAAUUAAGAAGCAAUUACAGAAGCAAACAGAAAUCCUGUGCGUACAGCCAGGCCAUUAAAAUAUGUUCUCUAAGAAAUUACCACAACCACGCUGGAAAGAAAAGCGACAUUUAAAUAAAGUUAUGGUUAUAACAAACUAAAAAGGAAGAAAAAAACCAAAGCAAUUCGUCCUGGAAAAAGUAAGUACUCAUCUGCCCCCCCCCACACUGUCAAUCUAUGCUGGUUUCUCUUUCCUUAAUUUUCUUAUGCAGAGUAAUAGUUGUACAUUUUGCACUCCUUUUUCUUACUUUGUUUUUCAGCAAGCAUUGGCUGCUCUGUGACUGUGCUGCAAACGGGAGUGUGUGCAAGUGGGACACGAGGGGAGAACAGCUUCAUGCCUCCCUUCUCCAGCAAGCAGGUAACUGUGCAUUGAAGUACGCCGGUAUUCUGCUGUUGUGCUGGGAGUGCCUCCUGCUCCACGUAUGGCAGAAUGAGACCCAUUGCUCACCACCCCACACGGCAUAUCGCUGCAUCGAUCAAACGCUGCUGCAAUAAAAGUCAGGCCCUAUCCAUGUGCCAAUACGGAGGGAUGUUUCUGAUUAUAAAUUCUCUAUGCAGAGUGCUGGCUAGCUCAUUGAAAAGGCAGAAAUCAAUGACAUUAGCACUCAUAAACCACAUGCAUUGUGACUGCUUCUCAGAACAGCCCUAAUUGGCAUAUGUCUGUCUUAUUGGCCUGCCUCAUAACAAUGCCCCAAAUGAUUCAUGAGACCAAAUAAGAAACAGGUGCAACCAAAACAGCACUCUGUGCCAAAAAUUCAUCUCUUAUGUAAGGAGAGGGGCCAAGGGCAUGGCUCAAACUGCUCCUUAUCGACUCCAGGAUGUGACUUCAACUCCCUGAAAGAAGCAUGUAGUGAAGUGGGGGUUGGACUCUGCCCCAGCAAUAAGAUGAGAGGGGAAUGGCCUCAGACUGUACAGGGAGGGUCAGGUUGGCUCUCAGAGCAAUGUCUGCUCCAGAGAGCAGCCAGGCACUGGCACAGCUGCCCAGGGGUGGGCAGUCCCCGUCCAUGGAGGUGUUCAGAGCCGCGGGGAUGUGGCACUGAGGGGUGGGCAGUGGGCACGGGGGGGGGGUGGGGGUCACAGAGGGCUUUUCCAGCCUGAAUGGUUCUGUGAUUCUAAUAAUGAGCUAUACAAAUCAUCCCAAGGGUGAACCUGCUGUCUAGUCACUGAAAUCUAUUGAGUGGGUAUUUGGGUUGCUUUUUUUAGGGUUAAUUUAUUUAAACCUGCAUGGGGUUGGAUUGAGGGGAAAAAAAGGAAAUCGAGCUGAUUACAGACUUUGUUUCUCAGUAAGAUAACUGAAACACUGGUCUAUCUGCUAUUUAUUAUACAAAAUGGGCAUCUUGUGAUUUGCUUCAAAUGAAAAAGGGACUUGAAUGGCAUGGCCAGUGGUCACGGGCCAUGAAGAGGGGAUGAUGGCACUGCACUGUGAGCCACCACAGCCCUGCAUCAUUCCAGCAAGUCACAGAUAAAAGCUUAAACGCUUGCCCCCCACUCUUUGCCAUGUGGUCCAUUAAGUUAGCUGCAGGCAAAGGGCAUAUUUGUCAAAUGCACAUUGUGCUGACUCAGCAUUCUGGUUAUCUGUUGGGCAUUCAAUUUCACCCUGGUGCAAAGCCUUUUUAGUUUCCCUUGGCGAAUAAAUUACAAAUGCUAAUUUCUGCUCAGUUGAAGAGAAGAUUAAGGCAGUGUAACAGACAGGCAUGCCAAAAUAUUUAUUGAAUAAGUUGCAAAAGCGAAACAAAAAGGCUGUGUAUUUCAAACUGAGUGCUGAGCAGGGCUCCAAGCUGAAUUUAAGAGCAGCUCCUUUAUUCACCCAGAAUCCAAUUUAGUGCGAGUAUAUUAUAUCCAGCAUCUGUAUGCUGAAAUCCACUGCUGAAUAAGCUUCUAAAAUUCUAUUUUCUGCAGUUUCAGUGCAUACUUGCACAUAUGUUUCUUAGUAAAUCACAGUAAUGACCCUAAUUCCAUGAGGAGGACCUAAAGCAAAUGCUGCCCCUGGGCUGCUACUCACCCAUCCACAACUGCUCUACGAGGUUAGCACUUGUUUUCUUCUCUAUUUCCAUCCAGACUGCUGUAACUGAAUGGGGAGAACAAUCUGAGAACUGUUAGAGAAGUAUUUGGGAUGUAACAGCUGCAUUAAUACCUAUUUGGGGUCACAGUUAGAGAAACGUGCGGUUCUUUCAGUUCACACAGACGUGGUGGGAUUUCUGUUAGGCAGCCACAGAGAAUUAAAAGCUCACUUUGAAAAGCCCUGGAUGGGGCUGAGUGACAAAUUGAGCUGCUUGUAGAGUCACCUGUAUUUUUAUAUGCGCACAGGAAAGGCAGAUUUUGUUCUGUUUCUGACAAGCAGUUACUGUAGCACCCUUUCAGUUUUGCAGGCAUUAGAGACUUCAGUUUGCUGCACAAAAUAAUGAGUUACGCUGUGUCUGCAUUAAACAACAGAGAUACAUGUCAGCAUUUCCAUGUCAUCCUUCUGUCACAGUAAAUGAAUGACAGUACAACAUAUGGGCUCAUUAGGUAACAUCCAACAGGUUAAUAGCCAUCGAUGUGUUGGAUUUCAGUUAUGCGUGUGUAAGUGUUUUUAGAUAUGCCAGCAAAUGAAGCCGGAGGGAAGAAAAUUUCACGAAAGCCAAAAUAAUUUGAGAGAGCAUUUGCAAAAAUGAAGUGCUGAAUUUAACCAUUUCAGUGCAUGUUGAGCUGCAAGCAGUAGGAACAGCCUCGUGCAGUUCUCAUUUUCAAUACGAUCUGCUCAAAGAAGUUCAAGUGGAUAAUAAAUACACUUCAACAAAUAAAGAUCUGUUUGAAGAGAGCUUCUGGGAUUGUGGGAAUAAAAGCCUGAGGGUAACUUCAGUCCGAUCACUGCUAAAAUCCAGACUGUAACAUUGAGGUGAUAAACAAAUGAGACUUAAGGAGCCACAGGCCUUGGGAUUAAGAGUCAGAAUAAGAACAUGAGGUACAUUUACUUCAUUGUGCAAUGUAAAUAACCCAUUUAAAAAUUAACGUUGUUGCACUGACAAUGCAUUGCUAGAUAGGAGAACACAUGCAGUCAUUGUUCUCCCCGCCUCUUUUAUUUUACUUAUACUAACCCCUUGGAGCAGCCGGCUGCUCAGCCGUGAUAGCGAUGCUCACAACCUCCUUCCUUCCCAGAAGUCUCCACAGUCUCCAGGAUCUUGCUCCAGUGACAUCCACUGCCAAUGUUUCUCCACUUAGAAUACGUCCUGGCAUCCUUGUGAUUAUCUUCUGCUGUGCUCUGUUCAGUGGAUAAACCGGAGGCAGUUACUGACAUAUAAAACUCUCAGUGGUCAGAGCCACCAAAGCUCUGUAGGUGGAUGUGAGUCUGUGAGACUGGCUUUGUAAACUUGGGUUGUGUGUAAAGGGGAGAUGUGUCUUCAGUGUCUUGCAACACCAAUGAUUGCUAAAACCAACAUGAAGCCCGAACUGCCCCAUGCAGCGUUUGCUCUCAGCCCCUGGAAUUAGUCUUGAAUUCUCAUGAUAGAAGGAUGUGCUCAUAAUUCAGAAAGUAAACAUACACAGCUACCUCUGUGCCUUUAUGGGGAGGGUGACAGAGCACUGGAACAGGCUCCCCAGGGAGGUGGUGGAGUCUCUUUGUAUGGAGAUAUUCAAGACCUGUCUGGACACCUACAUGUAUGACCUAUUAUAGGGUACCUACUCUAGCAGGGGGUUAGACUUGAUCUUUUGAGGUCCCUUCCAACCCCUGUGGUUCUGUGACUGUGUUUCUGUAAUACACACAAGCAACACCUACAGUAUACGUAGCUUGAUGUACAUAGUCUUAUAUGUAAAUGUUUAUAUAACCACGAUUUAAAGUCUGAUCAUAUUUCCACCAGCUUUCUCUCUUGAUCCUGAUGCAAUGCACUGUAGCAUGUCCUGGCUGUCUGUACCAUACCCUUUGGCCUGAUAUCUGUGGCUACAUACCUAUAGCGGCUAUCAAAGAGGGGGUGGGGGAUCCUGCUUUGCCACAGGGACAUGAUUAAGAUCCCCUUAGCACAUUGACCAUGACAUCUGCAGGUCAUGCACCUAUUGCUGGGGGGACUACCAAUCCUCCAACCUCCAAUCAUCUCCCCUAGGUGCAAGUAGGCCACACCACAUUGGUCCUACUUGCACUUUCCAAGGCCAUUCUAUUUUAUGGGUACCAGGUUCUAGGUUUUCAGGGGCAGGGAGCAGAAGAUUAUUUUAAUUGCCAGUUUGGGGUCUUACCUGAUUAUCGGUGCCCAUAAUUUGGAUCCUUAGCAGGGAAGCCCAUGUUGCCUGCAGCAUCUUUAGGGCAUUGGGUCUGCCAUCUCUAGGCCUUUCAUUCAGGUUCUGCAGGGCUUCAUAGAGUCUUUGUCCACCCCUGCAGGGACUGAGAGUCUGUCUUCAGGGCAGUCUUCAGAAUACCAUUAUAGCAUUCAAUAAGGCCUGUCCCCACCAGAUUGUAUGGCAGAUGGAAUCACCACUCAAUGUUGUUUUCUUCUGUCCAGCACUGUACCACUGCACCAGUGAAAUAAGUCAUCGAGAGUGACCAAGGGACUCGAAGUGUUCCGUAGGCAGCCAUCAUCUUGGUAAGCACCUUAAUGGCAUAUCCCUGGUUUGCUUUGGCACUGGAUAGCCCUGCAAUAGCCCAUUUGCUGUGUUGAUGCAGGUCAGGGCAUAUCUUCCAUAUAUCAGGCAUCUUCAGGAAUGGCCUACAAGCCUGGUCUUUACAACUUCUGUGGGUUUAUAGCCCACCCUUUUUUUUUUUGUAGAUAGGUAGCCAGUAAGACUGCUGCCUUUCCUAAUGCCUUCAGUGAGUCUGAUGUCAGCAUGAGAUCAUCAAUAUAGUGGUACAGCUUGAUGUUAUUAGAAUUAUUUCAGUCUGCUAGGUCAUGCGCCACUAAGUUAUGACAAUAUGUAGGCAAGUGCACAUACCCUUGCGGCAGGAACCAAGAGGUCCACUGCCUGCCUCCCCACAUAAAUGCAAACUGAACUUGUAAUUCUUUGUGGAUGGGAAGGGAAUACAUUUGCAAAGUCUAGGACACACUAUUUGGUUUCUAACUCCGCACUCAAUGUAUCCACCAGGGAGACAAUAUUGGGUACAGCUGCAUGAAUGGGCAGUGUGACCUUAUUCAGUUCUACAUAAUCCACUGUCAUUCUCCAUGUGCUGUCUGACUUCCACACUGGCCAUAUGGGGGAAUUGGAUGGGCUAUAUGCAGGUCUUAUGAUCCCUACUUUUUCUAGCUCCUGAACCAUUCUAAGUAUUUCCUCUUGACCCUCUGGGAAUCUAUACUGUUUAGUACUAGUAAUCUAGCACAGAAUGGGCAAGUGAAUACGUUCACGUUUCACAUGGCCUCUUAAUAUUGCCUGCACUACCUGGAAACUAAUACAUCUCUCUCUCUCAGUCUGAGCUCUCCUAUGGUCAUCUGGAGAGUCAGACCCCAUAACAUGUCUGUGCCUGUUAUAUACUUCAGAACUGGGGCAAUAGACACCUUACACUCCUGGUGUGGAAGACACCCAACUUUAACGGUGUCUGGGUUACAGGCACGGUCUAUGCCCCAAACCCACCAAUCACCACCUCAUCUCCAUGGAAUUUGGUUGGAUCACCAUAAAUAAUUGACAUUUCUGCACCCACAUCAGCUAGUGCCAUAACUCACCCUAUAUUCUUUUGGGACCAAAACACAGUCAGUUUAAUAUAGGGGCCCCCAGGCAGGACUGGAGGCCCCAGGUACAGAGGGGCUAGCAUCCCUUUCAUGCAAGUAGCUGAGAAUCGCCAAUUCCUUUUCCUCAGGUGACUCUGGCAUAGAGGCCUGGGUCAAUUCAGGAGGCUUUUUGCUUUUAUUAGGAACUAGGAAAUUUUCCAGGUUCCACGUUGUUGUUGUUGUUUCGGUUAUUUUUUCCUCCAGUAAUUCUCACCCCUGCUUUUUGAGGAUAUUUUGAAACUUCUGCUUCAGGGUCCCAGUAAUCAUCCUGCACAUGAUUUUUUUAAGGUAAUCCACAUAAAUAAGUAGCUGGCAUACCAAGUGCAGUACUGUAAUGCUAUAACGUGGUAGAAAGCACAGCAAUAAGGGAGAGUGGCACAAUCCUAGGCUACACCAAACGAGAACAAGCCCAAAUGCAGCAGCCAGCCAGGGAUGCAAAAACAAAGGAAGAAAAACUGCUUACCUUUAGAAGGCCUCCAGGGAGCAGAGAUCUCAAGCAAGAUGCUUUCACCUCCACUGCCAGCCCUUAAAUGAGGCCUGGGAAGGGGAGGAUCCUGACUCCACCCUUCUGGUCACUCAGCUGCAUUGCAUUGCAUUGCAUUGCAUUGCAUUACAUGCACCUGAGAUCCCCUGGGCUGGCCCUGCCUUCCCACCAGGUGCUCAAUCACUGCUUCAGGCCGUUACUUAGCAUUGCCACUACAGGUCCCCCACAUGGAACAUUCCUUUUACUUCCCAGUUAAAAGUACUUGUUUAGGUUUUUUGUUUUUUCCCGGUGACAAAGAGUGAUGCUCAGUAGCCACGUUUACAGAGUGCUCAAAUCCCUACCGACAGACUGCUUUUGUCAUGAAAAGCAAAGUUGUCAUGGUGACAGAGCAGCCUGAUGCCUCACUGCACGGAAGUGCCAGCAGGAGGUGGGAGCGGAGGGGCACAUGGGGUCAAUGAGUGCGGUCCCGCAGUCACCCGACUUUUCACAGCAUUAACAGUGCAUCUCUCGGAUAACGGAGGUAACAGGAUGUGCAUAAGAAAAGUGGAAACUUCUUUCAUUCACUGCUGAUGGGAGAAAAGGAGUCAUCUGCGGAGUUAUUUCAACAGAGAGAUAUGUGACCGGCAUCGAGACGAGAGCCAUGACAUUCUUCUGACAAGUAAUAUCGACAGUAAUUGGCUUCAUCCCUCUUUCAGUGGCUCUGUCGUUAAUGAGAUUUGUGAUCUAAUUUUUCAUAUCUCUGUCAGAUCUGUUGGGAAUAAUUUUUCUAACAAACAUUUAUGGACAUAAUAUGUGCGCAUUCAUCGAAUACGUCCCUUACAAUCCAGCCUUCUCCAGGAAGUAUUUCUAUUCUGACAGAUGAGUUUAAUAAAAAUCUCUCUGAGCUGAGCAUUCUGAAACAUAAGAAUUCAAUAAUAAUAAAAACUUAACCUGCUCCUUCUAAAUACAGAGCGAGCAUCCUCACUUGUAGCUCUCAUAAACCCACUCCAUGUGCGCGUGGUGAUGAUACACCCAUCAUUCCCAUUUUAUAAAGGAGGUGAAGGGGCAAAGCGGGUUGCCAGGUUUGCCUGACAGUUCUCUCUUAAGGUUUACUUACAGCUGCUUGCAGAGUGUGCAGGAGACUGCAUAUGAGCCCAGCAUCAGUCCUGCAGGAGUCAGCAGCCAGGCACAGACUGGCUCCUGGUGCUGCCUGAUGGAGAGUGGCCGCUGGGUGGAAGGAGCUGCUGUUCCCUCCUUUGGACCCAGAGUAACUUUUAAAUCAUUCUGGGAAGAAAGGAAUGGCAUAUUUGGUGUCUCAGAUGUUCCUUGAGCAGUACGACCUGCACAGAAGUGACGUAUAGUGGACACAAAACAGCUCCUCAAUUAGGGAGACGUAGGGGCAGAAUCACAUCUCCCCAGCAGAACUCAAGAAGCCCUUCUUAGCACUACCACUGCGCAACCGAAGGUAUUUGAUCUGAAGUAUGAAGAAUGAUUUAAUCAGACAGAUUAACCUACCUGGUGCAUCUGAAACACUUCCAUUCCAUCGAAGUCCAUCAACAACAUAGGCUUUAAGUGGAGUUUUAAAAAGUUUAUGAGAAGAAUAUGGAAGGAAUAAGGAGAGUGACAAUUCAGCACGUUUUAGCUCACGUGCUUCUGCAGCAGAAGGUACAGCACUGGGAAUGGGGGCACUGCUGUGACUGACCCCACCACAGGACCUGGCCACCCCAGAGCAUAUUUUCAAGGACUAAUUUCAAGUGUAUACGUUAUAAAUCUGCAAACUAUCUCUGUGAGCCGUGCAUGCUUUACAUCCCUUCAAUCCCAUUGCCUAAUAUUAGUGAAAGUGACAAGACAUUAACUGCAUAUUAAUUGAAUUUUUCACGGAUGAUUAAAAUACAGAAACUGUGCAACAGAUUUCUCCUUUGAGGUGUAAUAAAAGUGAAGGGGAAAUGAAUAAAUUGCCUAUUUUAGAGAUUUUAUAUAUAGUGCAAAUAGACAUUUUCCUUUUAGACAUCUCACCAGGAAGAAAGC
ensembl:lncRNA